GCGACGGGAACACCGCUCAAGAGGCGAUCCAAUGGCGGGAACAGAGGUGCUCCAGCAGGAUCCGCCCAAGGCUCUCUGCCAGGCGCUAGGUGGUCCGGGGUGAAUCACCAGCCCUGCCCACAGCGAGCUUGCACUCUAGUAGUCAAGACAGCCUUGUCGACCACCAGGCGUAACACAAAGCAAAUGCAGCCCGCGUGGAACCAGAGGCGCCAAUGCAGUGCGGUGGGAUAGUCAAAGCGACCACGGAAAUAAGGAGAAUUUCCUUUUAUUGAACGCCUACUAUGUGCCCAUUAUCCUUAAUUCUCACAACAAUUUUGCAAGCAACACCCGGGGCAGUUGUCACCUCCUCUGAGAAGGCUUCUCCAGCUCCUACAGUCAGAAAGGUUGUGCCUUCUCUGUGCUCGGGGCUGCCUGUGGAGUGUCUGUAUUUCUGUGACUGCAAAUACUGUGCUCCAGUGUCAGCAUCCAUCUCCUCGGGAGACAGUGAACACUUCUGUGAAUGAGACACGGUCUCACCAUCCUAUGUCUAUGCCAACCCUUAGCCCCGUGCUUGGCUUAUUAUUGGCACUUAAUAAUAGUUUGGGGCUUCCCUGGUGGCGCAGUGGUUGAGAAUCUGCCUGCCAAUGCGGGGGACACGGGUUCGAGCCCUGGUCUGGGAAGAUCCCACAUGCCGCGGAGCAACUGGGCCCGUGAGCCACAACUACUGAGCCUGCGCGUCUGGAGCCUGUGCUCUGCAACGAGAGGCCGCGACAGUGAGAGGCCCGCACACCGCAAUGAAGAGUGGCCCCCGCUCGCCGCAACUGGA